rnacentral:rRNA from 1 species
UACGUAGGUGGCAAGCGUUGUCCGGAAUUACUGGGUGUAAAGGGAGCGUAGGCGGGGCAACAAGUUGAAUGUGAAAUCUAUCGGCUCAACCGGUAGGCUGCGUUCAAAACUGUUGCUCUUGAGAGAAGUAGAGGAUGGCGGAAUUCCUAGUGUAGCGGUGAAAUGCGUAGAUAUUAGGAGGAACACCAGUGGCGAAGGCGGCCAUCUGGGCUUUUUCUGACGCUGAGGCUCGAAAGCGUGGGUAGCAAACAGGAUUAGAUACCCUGGUAGUCCACGCUGUAAACGAUGAUUACUAGGUGUGGGGGGUCUGACCCCUUCCGUGCCGCAGUUAACACAAUAAGUAAUCCACCUGGGGAGUACGACCGCAAGGUUG